rnacentral:rRNA from 1 species
UACGAGGGGUGCAAGCGUUGCUCGGAAUUAUUGGGCGUAAAGGGUAGGUAGGUGGUCUCGUUUGUCAGGGGUGAAAGCCUUGGGCUUAACCCAAGAAGUGCCUCUGAAACGGCGAGACUCGAGUCCUGGAGAGGGUCGUGGAAUUCCCGGUGUAGCGGUGAAAUGCGUAGAGAUCGGGAGGAACACCAGAGGCGAAGGCGGCGACCUGGACAGGUACUGACACUCAACUACGAAAGCGUGGGGAGCAAACAGG